AUUGAACGCUGGCGGCAUGCCUUAUACAUGCAAGUCGAACGACCACACGAAAAGCUUUCUCCUCUUACUUUCGCGUCGGACGGGGGAGUAACACGUAGCUAAACUUACUGUAAGACUGGGGUUACCUCUGGAAACCGGUGCUAAUUCCGGCAUAUACAUUGAACCGCAUAGUUCAGUAGUGUCAGACCUCUUGUCUUUCGCUCAUCCAUUGUUUGACUGCCGAUUAGCUAGUUGGUAAGGUAACGGCUUACCAAGGCGACGAUGAGUAGCGGACCUGAGAGGGUGAUCGGCCACACUGGAACUGAGACACGGCCCAGACUCCUACGGGAGGCAGCAGUGGGGAAUUUUCGGCAAUGGGCGCAAGCCUGAUGGAGCAAUGCCGCGUGUGUGAAGAAGGUCUUCGGAUCGUAAAACACUUUUAUUAGGGAAGAACAAAUGUGUAAGUAUAUAUGCACGUGUUGACGGUACCUAAACAGAAAGCAACGGCUAACUACGUG
rnacentral:rRNA from 1 species